rnacentral:rRNA from 1 species
UACGGGGGGGGCAAGCGUUGUUCGGAAUUACUGGGCGUAAAGGGCUCGUAGGUGGCCAACUAAGUCAGACGUGAAAUCCCUCGGCUUAACCGGGGAACUGCGUCUGAUACUGGAUGGCUUGAGUUCGGGAGAGGGAUGCGGAAUUCCAGGUGUAGCGGUGAAAUGCGUAGAUAUCUGGAGGAACACCGAUGGCGAAGGCAGCCCCCUGGGUUAACACUGACGCUCAGGCACGAAAGCGUGGGGAGCAAACAGG